rnacentral:rRNA from 1 species
UGCAAGUCGAGCGGGGGAAGUUGCUUCGGUAACUGACCUAGCGGCGGACGGGUGAGUAAUACUUAGGAAUCUGCCUAUUAGUGGGGGACAACGUUUCGAAAGGAACGCUAAUACCGCAUACGUCCUACGGGAGAAAGCAGGGGAUCACUUGUGACCUUGCGCUAAUAGAUGAGCCUAAGUCGGAUUAGCUAGUUGGUGGGGUAAAGGCCUACCAAGGCGACGAUCUGUAGCGGGUCUGAGAGGAUGAUCCGCCACACUGGGACUGAGACACGGCCCAGACUCCUACGGGAGGCAGCAGUGGGGAAUAUUGGACAAUGGGGGGAACCCUGAUCCAGCCAUGCCGCGUGUGUGAAGAAGGCCUUAUGGUUGUAAAGCACUUUAAGCGAGGAGGAGGAGCUCUUGGUUAAUACCCAAGAUGCUUGGACGUUACUCGCAGAAUAAGCACCGGCUAACUCUGUGCCAGCAGCCGCGGUAAUACAGAGGGUGCGAGCGUUAAUCGGAUUUACUGGGCGUAAAGCGUGCGUAGGCGGCUUUUUAAGUCGGAUGUGAAAUCCCCGAGCUUAACUUGGGAAUUGCAUUCGAUACUGGGAAGCUAGAGUAUGGGAGAGGAUGGUAGAAUUCCAGGUGUAGCGGUGAAAUGCGUAGAGAUCUGGAGGAAUACCGAUGGCGAAGGCAGCCAUCUGGCCUAAUACUGACGCUGAGGUACGAAAGCAUGGGGAGCAAACAGGAUUAGAUACCCUGGUAGUCCAUGCCGUAAACGAUGUCUACUAGCCGUUGG